rnacentral:tRNA from 1 species
CACGGGAAAUGGUCGGGAUAGCUCAGUUGGUAGAGCAGCGG